AUGGCUUCAAGUCGAACCAGACAGCUGAUGAAGCUGUCGAAGUCGAUGUUCAUGCGCUCGUUUGCGUAACGCAUGGUGAUGAUGUCAUACAGCUGGUUGUUGAGACGGAAGCCUGAGUGGGACAGAAGACACAUGACUGUACAGUGACGAGAACAAUCAGUGGAUGAGAGCUACAGAAACAACAGACUUACCACAGGAUUGUCGGCCUCGAUCCUGUUCUCUAUCUCCCUGGGUGAAGACGAACAAACAGCGUCACCAUGGUGACAUCAUCAACAUCAUCAACAUCUCUAAACCCAUUUCCCUGAAGAAUUUGUCUAUCUCCAGCAGUCACUGUGUAAGGGGUGGGGGACACCCUGGACA